UACGGGGGGAGCAAGCGUUGUUCGGAUUUACUGGGCGUAAAGGGCGCGUAGGCGGCCAGCGCAAGUCGGUUGUGAAAUCUCCGGGCUUAACUCGGAAAGGUCAACUGAUACUGCGCGGCUAGAGUGCAGAAGGGGCAACUGGAAUUCUCGGUGUAGCGGUGAAAUGCGUAGAUAUCAGGAGGAACACCGGUGGCGAAGGCGGGUCUCUGGGCCGAUACUGACGCUGAGGAGCGAAAGCGUGGGGAGCGAACAGG
rnacentral:rRNA from 1 species